AUUGAACGCUGGCGGCAGGCCUAACACAUGCAAGUCGAACGGUAACAGGAAGCAGCUUGCUGCUUUGCUGACGAGUGGCGGACGGGUGAGUAAUGUCUGGGAAACUGCCUGAUGGAGGGGGAUAACUACUGGAAACGGUAGCUAAUACCGCAUAACGUCGCAAGACCAAAGAGGGGGACCUUCGGGCCUCUUGCCAUCGGAUGUGCCCAGGUGGGAUUAGCUUGUUGGUGGGGUAACGGCUCACCAAGGGGACGAUCCCUAGCUGGUCUGAGAGGAUGAACAGGACACGUGAAAAGGGAACGAGGCCCAGAACCCGAGGGGAGGGAGCGGUGGGAAAGAUUGGAAAAUGGGGGGAAGCGUGGAGCAGCCAAGGGGGGUGGAUGAAGAAAGCCUUCGGGUUGUAAAAUAGUUUGAGGGGGGGGGAAGGAAGUAAAGUUAAACCAGUAGCUAAUGAAGGUAACGGGCAAAGAAGACACGGCUAAAUUCGGG
rnacentral:rRNA from 1 species